GAUGAACGCUAGCUACAGGCUUAACACAUGCAAGUCGAGGGGAAACGAUAUUGGAAGCUUGCUUCCGAUAGGCGUCGACCGGCGCACGGGUGAGUAACGCGUAUCCAACCUGCCCACCACUUGGGGAUAACCUUGCGAAAGUAAGGCUAAUACCCAAUGAUAUCUCAAGAAGACAUCUGAAAGGGAUUAAAGAUUUAUCGGUGAUGGAUGGGGAUGCGUCUGAUUAGCUUGUUGGCGGGGUAACGGCCUACCAAGGCGACGAUCAGUAGGGGAUCUGAGAGUGAGGUCCCCCACAUUGGAGCUGAGACACGGUCCGGACUCCUACGGGAGGCAGCAGUGAGGAAUAUUGGUCAAUGGGCGAGAGCCUGAACCAGCCAAGUAGCGUGCAGGAUGACGGCCCUAUGGGUUGUAAACUGCUUUUAUAAGGGAAUAAAGUGAGCCUCGUGAGGCUUUUUGCAUGUACCUUAUGAAUAAGGACCGGCUAAUUCCGUGCCAGCCGCCGCCGUAA
rnacentral:rRNA from 1 species